UCAGUAACACGUAGUCAACAUGCCCAGAGGACGUGGAUAACCUCGGGAAACUGAGGAUAAACCGCGAUAGGUCAUGAUUUCUGGAAUGGUUUAUGGCUGAAAUCUAUAUGGCCUCUGGAUUGGACUGCGGCCGAUCAGGCUGUUGGUGAGGUAAUGGCCCACCAAACCUGUAACCGGUACGGGCUCUGAGAGGAGGAGCCCGGAGAUGGGCACUGAGACAAGGGCCCAGGCCCUAUGGGCGCAGCAGGCGCGAAAUCUCUGCAAUAGGCGAAAGCUUGACAGGGUUACUCUGGGUGAUUCCCGCUAAGGGGAUCUUUUGGCACCUCUAAAAAUGGUGCAGAAUAAGGGGUGGGCAAGUCUGGUGCCAGCAGCCG
rnacentral:rRNA from 1 species